UACGUAGGGGGCGAGCGUUGUCCGGAUUCAUUGGGCGUAAAGAGCUCGUAGGCGGCUUGGUAAGUCGGGUGUGAAACCUCCAGGCUCAACCUGGAGACGCCACUCGAUACUGCCAUGGCUAGAGUCCGGUAGGGGCCCACGGAAUUCCUGGUGUAGCGGUGAAAUGCGCAGAUAUCAGGAGGAACACCGGUGGCGAGGGCGGUGGGCUGGGCCGGAACUGACGCUGAGGAGCGAAAGCGUGGGGAGCGAACAGG
rnacentral:rRNA from 1 species